rnacentral:tRNA from 1 species
CAUCCCUGGCGCAGCCCCGGCGCCAGGCUUUUAUUGAAGGCCUGGCAGUAAAUCACAUGGCCGGACGCGUUGUCCCAGGCCUUGAGGGGUUU